UACAGAGGGGGCGAGCGUUAUUCGGAAUUAUUGGGCGUAAAGGGCGCGUAGGCGGCUUUUCAAGUGACGGGUGAAAUCCCUCGGCUUAACCGAGGAACUGCCUGUCAGACUGGAAGGCUUGAGACCGGGAGAGGUGAGUGGAAUUCCCAGUGUAGCGGUGAAAUGCGUAGAUAUUGGGAGGAACACCAGUGGCGAAGGCGGCUCACUGGACCGGAACUGACGCUGAGGCACGAAAGCGUGGGAGCAAACAGG
rnacentral:rRNA from 1 species